rnacentral:rRNA from 1 species
GAUGAACGCUGGCGGCGUGCCUAACACAUGCAAGUCGAACGGAAAGGCCCUGCUUUUGUGCGGUGCUCGUGUGGCGAACGGGGGAGUAACACGUGAGUAACCUGUACCUGUCUGUGGGGUAUCUUCAGGAAACAGGGGCUAAUACCGGAUAGGAGCUAUUGCUGCAUGGUGGGGGAUGGUAAGAUUCGGUGGUUGGGGAUGUAUUCGCGGCUUAUCAGCUUGUUGGUGGGGUAGUGGCUUACCAAGGUUUGGACGGGUAGCCUGCCUGGGAGGGUGACCAGCAACAUGGGUACUGAGAGAGGGACCAGACGCGUACGGCCGGCAGAGGUAGAAAGUGUGACACAGUGACGGCGCGCGAGAUGCGGAGACACCGGGGGCGGGAUAAUGGCCUACGGGUUAUGAACCUCUUUCUCCUUUACCAAGGAGGGCGUGACGGUAACGGGUAAAAAAGCCCCGGCUAACUACGUG